rnacentral:rRNA from 1 species
UGAAUAGGAGAUGCUACGGCAUUGAAGCAGUCUAUGUCAUACUUCCAAGAAAAGCUCGCAAUGUCGUCAUAAAUAAUAAAUGCCUGUACCAUAACCGACACAGGUGGGUAGGUAGAGUAUACUAAGGGGCGCGAGAUAACUCUCUCUAAGGAACUCGGCAAAAUGACUCCGUAACUUCGGGAGAAGGAGUGCCUUAUUUAUAAGGUUGCAAUAACAAGAUCCAAGCAACUGUUUACCAAAAACACAGGUCUCCGCUAAGUCGUAAGACGAUGUAUGGGGGCUGACGCCUGCCCAGUGCCAGAAGGUUAAAGAAGUUGGUUAGCUUCGGCGAAGCUGAUGACUGAAGCCCUGGUGAACGGCGGCCGUAACUAUAACGGUCCUAAGGUAGCGAAAUUCCUUGUCGGGUAAGUUCCGACCCGCACGAAAGGCGUAAUGAUUUGGAUACUGUCUCGGAGAGGGGCUCGGUGAAAUAGACUUGUCUGUGAAGAUGCGGACUACCUGCACCUGGACAGAAAGACCCUAUGAAGCUUUACUGUAACUUGAGAUUGAAAUUGGACUUUAUUUGCGCAGUAUAGGUGGGAGACGUUGAGAAUGUUCUUGCGGGAAUAUUGGAGUCAUCAGUGAGAUACCACUCUUGUAAUGUUAGAUUUCUAACUUUGUAUCAUUAUCUGGUCAAAGGACAGUUUCAGGCGGGCAGUUUGACUGGGGCGGUCGCCUCCCAAAGGGUAACGGAGGCGCACAAAGGUUUCCUCUGAACGUGUAGAAAUCGUAUCUAGAGUGUAAAGGCAUAAGGAAGCUUGACUGUGAGACCUACAAGUCGAGCAGGGACGAAAGUCAGUCUUAGUGAUCUGACGGUGCUGAGUGGAAAGGCCGUCACUCAACGGAUAAAAGUUACUCUAGGAUAACAGGCUGAUCUCCCCCAAGAGUUCACAUCGACGGGGAGGUUUGGCACCUCGAUGUCGGCUCAUCGCAUCCUGGGGCGGUAGUACGUCCCAAGGGUUGGGCUGUUCGCCCAUGAAAGCGGUACGCGAGCUGGGUUCAGAACGUCGUGAGACAGUUCGGUCCAUAUCCGGUGUAGGCGUUAGAAUAUUGAGGUAGCCUUCUUUAGUACGAGAGGACCGAGAAGGACAUACCUCUGGUGUACCAGUUAUCGUGCCAACGGUAAACGCUGGGUAGCUAUGUAUGGAGUGGAUAACCGCUGAAAGCAUCUAAGUGGGAAGCCCACCUCAAGAUAAGUAUUCUCA